UAGCAUAUCAAUAAGCGGAGGAAAAGAAACCAACAGGGAUUGCCCUAGUAACGGCGAGUGAAGCGGCAACAGCUCAAAUUUGAAAUCUGGCUUCGGCCCGAGUUGUAAUUUGUAGAGGAAGAUUUAGGCGCGGCACCUUCUGAGUCCCCUGGAACGGGGCGCCAUAGAGGGUGAGAGCCCCGUAUAGUUGGAUGCCUAGCCUGUGUAAAUCUCCUUCGACGAGUCGAGUAGUUUGGGAAUGCUGCUCAAAAUGGGAGGUAAAUUUCUUCUAAAGCUAAAUAUUGGCCAGAGACCGAUAGCGCACAAGUAGAGUGAUCGAAAGAUGAAAAGCACUUUGAAAAGAGGGUUAAAUAGCACGUGAAAUUGUUGAAAGGGAAGCGCUUGUGACCAGACUUGCGCCGGGCGGAUCAUCCGGUGUUCUCACCGGUGCACUCCGCCCGGCUCAGGCCAGCAUCGGUUCUCGUGGGGGGAUAAAGGCCCUGGGAACGUAGCUCCUCCGGGAGUGUUAUAGCCCAGGGUGUAAUGCCCUCGCGGGGACCGAGGUUCGCGCAUCUGCAAGGAUGCUGGCGUAAUGGUCAUCAGCGACCCGUCUUGAAACACGGACCAAGGAGUCAAGGUUUUGCGCGAGUGUUUGGGUGUAAAACCCGCACGCGUAAUGAAAGUGAACGUAGGUGAGAGCUUCGGCGCAUCAUCGACCGAUCCUGAUGUAUUCGGAUGGAUUUGAGUAGGAGCGUUAAGCCUUGGACCCGAAAGAUGGUGAACUAUGCUUGGAUAGGGUGAAGCCAGAGGAAACUCUGGUGGAGGCUCGCAGCGGUUCUGACGUGCAAAUCGAUCGUCAAAUCUGAGCAUGGGGGCGAAAGACUAAUCGAACCAUCUAGUAGCUGGUUACCGCCGAA
rnacentral:rRNA from 1 species